rnacentral:rRNA from 1 species
CCUAUAAGACUGGGAUAACUUCGGGAAACCGGGGCUAAUACCGGAUAAUAUAUUGAACCGCAUGGUUCAAUGUUGAAAGACGGUUUCGGCUGUCACUUAUAGAUGGACCCGCGCCGUAUUAGCUAGUUGGUAAGGUAACGGCUUACCAAGGCAACGAUACGUAGCCGACCUGAGAGGGUGAUCGGCCACACUGGAACUGAGACACGGUCCAGACUCCUACGGGAGGCAGCAGUAGGGAAUCUUCCGCAAUGGGCGAAAGCCUGACGGAACAACGCCGCGUGAGUGAUGAAGGUCUUAGGAUCGUAAAACUCUGUUGUUAGGGAAGAACAAAUUUGUUAGUAACUGAACAAGUCUUGACGGUACCUAACCAGAAAGCCACGGCUAACUACGUGCCAGCAGCCGCGGUAAUACGUAGGUGGCAAGCGUUAUCCGGAAUUAUUGGGCGUAAAGCGCGCGUAGGCGGUUUCUUAAGUCUGAUGUGAAAGCCCACGGCUCAACCGUGGAGGGUCAUUGGAAACUGGGGAACUUGAGUGCAGAAGAGGAGAGUGGAAUUCCAUGUGUAGCGGUGAAAUGCGCAGAGAUAUGGAGGAACACCAGUGGCGAAGGCGGCUCUCUGGUCUGUAACUGACGCUGAUGUGCGAAAGCGUGGGGAUCAAACAGGAUUAGAUACCCUGGUAGUCCACGCCGUAAACGAUGAGUGCUAAGUGUUAGGGGGUUUCCGCCCCUUAGUGCUGCAGCUAACGCAUUAAGCACUCCGCCUGGGGAGUACGACCGCAAGGUUGAAACUCA